GACAAUACAUGUAGUUAUAGUUUCAGGAAGAAUCUCUCAUCAACAGAUUGAUAACUGACAUGUUUCAGUUUCAGGCAGGAUCUCUCAUCAACAGAUUGAUAACUGACAUGUUUCAGUUUCAGGCAGGAUCUCUCAUAAACACAUUGAUAACUGACAUGUUUCAGUUUCAGGCAGGAUCUCUCAUAAACACAUUGAUAACUGACAUGUUACAGUUUCAGGCAGAAUCUCUCAUCAACACAUUGAUAACUGACAUGUUACAGUUUCAGGAAGAAUCUCUCAUAAACACAUUGAUAACUGACAUGUUACAGUUUCAGGAAGAAUCUCUCAUCAACAGAUUGAUAACUGACAUGUUACAGUUUCAGGCAGGAUCUCUCAUAAACACACUGAUAACUGACAUGUUACAGUUUCAGGCAGGAUCUCUCAUCAACACACUGAUAACUGACAUGUUACAGUUUCAGGCAGGAUCUCUCAUCAACAGAUUGAUAACUGACAUGUUACAGUUUCAGGCAGGAUCUCUCAUCAACAGAUUGAUAACUGACAUGUUACAGUUUCAGGCAGGAUCUCUCAUCAACAGAUUGAUAACUGACAUGUUACAGUUUCAGGCAGAAUCUCUCGUCAACAGAUUGAUAACUGACAUGUUUCAGUUUCAGGCAGGAUCUCUCAUAAACACAUUGAUAACUGACAUGUUACAGUUUCAGGCAGAAUCUCUCUCAUCAACAGAUUGAUAACUGACAUGUUACAGUUUCAGGCAGGAUCUCUCAUCAACAGAUUGAUAACUGACAUGUUACAGUUUCAGGCAGGAUCUCUCAUCAACAGAUUGAUAACUGACAUGUUACAGUUUCAGGCAGGAUCUGUCAUAAACACAUUGAUAACUGACAUGUUACAGUUUCAGGAAGAAUCUCUCAUAAACAGAUUGAUAACUGACAUGUUACAGUUUCAGGCAGGAUCUCUCAUCAACACAUUGAUAACUGACAUGUUACAGUUUCAGGCAGGAUCUCUCAUCAACAGAUUGAUAACUGACAUGUUACAGUUUCAGGCAGGAUCUCUCAUAAACACAUUGAUAACUGACAUGUUACAGUUUCAGGCAGGAUCUCUCAUCAACAGAUUGAUAACUGACAUGUUACAGUUUCAGGCAGGAUCUCUCACUGACACAUUGAUAACUGACAUGUUACAGUUUCAGGGAGGAUCUCUCAUCAACAGAUUGAUAACUGACAUGUUACAGUUUCAGGCAGGAUCUCUCAUCAACAGAUUGAUAACUGACAUGUUACAGUUUCAGGCAGGAUCUCUCAUCAACAGAUUGAUAACUGACAUGUUACAGUUUCAGGCAGGAUCUCUCAUCAACAGAUUGAUAACUGACAAUAUUACAGUUUCAGGCAGGAUCUCUCACUGAUAGAUUGCUAACUGACAUGUUACAGUUUCAGGUAUGAUCUCUCACUGAUAGAUUGCUAACUGACAUGUUACAGUUUCAGGUAUGAUCUCUCACUGAUAGAUUGCUAACUGACAUGUUACAGUUUCAGGUAUGAUCUCUCACUGAUAGAUUGCUAACUGACAUGUUACAGUUUCAGGUAUGAUCUCUAACUGACACACUGAAAACUGACAUGUUACAGUUUCAGGCAAGAUCUCUCACAGACUGACUGCUAACUGACAUGUUACAGUUUCAGGCAGUAUCUCUCACAGACUGAUAGAUAACUGACAUGUUACAGUUUCAGGCAGUAUCUCUCACAGACUGAUAGAUAACUGACAUGUUUCAGUUUCAGGCAGGAUCUCUCAUAAACACAUUGAUAACUAACAUGUUACAGUUUCAGGCAGGAUCUCUCAUCAACAGAUUGAUAACUGACAUGUUACAGUUUCAGGCAGGAUCUCUCAUCAACAGAUUGAUAACUGACAUGUUACAGUUUCAGGCAGGAUCUCUCAAAGGCACAUUGAUAACUGACAUGUUACAGUUUCAGGCAGGAUCUCUCAUAAACACAUUGAUAACUGACAUGUUACAGUUUCAGGCAGGAUCUCUCAUCAACAGAUUGAUAACUGACAUGUUACAGUUUCAGGCAGGAUCUCUCAUCAACUCAUUGAUAACUGACAUGUUUCAGUUUCAGGCAGGAUCUCUCAUCAACAGAUUGAUAACUGACAUGUUACAGUUUCAGGCAGGAUCUCUCAUCAACAGAUUGAUAACUGACAUGUUACAGUUUCAGGCAGGAUCUCUCAUCAACAGAUUGAUAACUGACAUGUUACAGUUUCAGGCAGGAUCUCUCAUCAACAGAUUGAUAACUGACAUGUUACAGUUUCAGGCAGGAUCUCUCACUGACACAUUGAUAACUGACAUGUUACAGUUUCAGGCAGGAUCUCUCACUAAUAGACUGCUAACUGACAUGUUACAGUUUCAGACAGGAUCUCUCACAGACUGACUGCUAACUGACAUGUUACAGUUUCAGGCAGUAUCUCUCACUAACACAUUGAUAACUGACAUGUUACAGUUUCAGGCAUGAUCUCUCACUGAUAGAUUGCUAACUGACAUGUUACAGUUUCAGGCAGGAUCUCUCACUGACAAAUUGAUAACUGUCAUGUUACUGUUUCAGGCAGGAUCUCUCACAGACACAUUGAUAACUAACAUAUUACAGUUUCAGGCAGGAUCUCUCACUGACACAUUGAUAACUGACAUGUUACAGUUUCAGGCAUGAUCUCUCUCAGACAGAUUGAUAACUGACAUGUUUCAGUUUCAGGCAGAAUCUCUCACUGACAUAUGACUUAAACGCAAAACUUAAUCAAGAAGUCCAAAAGGGGCUUAAUUCUUGCAAAAAGCAGGAUAGAGUUAUGUUUCUUGCUGUACAGAGUCAGCUUUUGAUGGUGAACAAGUGUUGCAAGUUUCAA
rnacentral:misc_RNA from 1 species